UUCCGGUUGAUCCCGCCGGAGGUUACUGCUAUCGAGGUUCGACUAAGCCAUGCGAGUCGAAUGUAGCAAUACAUGGCGUACUGCUCAGUAACACGUGGAUAACCUACCCUUGAGAUGGGAAUAAACCCGGGAAACUGGGUAUAAUACCCGAUAGAUCUCGACUGCUGGAAUGCAUCGAGAUCCAAAGCUCCGGCGCUCAAGGAUGGAUCUGCGGCCUAUCAGGUAGUAGUGGGUGUAGUGUACCUACUAGCCUACGACGGGUACGGGUUGUGAGAGCAAGAGCCCGGAGAUGGAUUCUGAGACACGAAUCCAGGCCCUACGGGGUGCAGCAGGCGCGAAAACUUUACAAUGCUGGAAACAGCGAUAAGGGGACCUCGAGUGCCAGGUUACAAAUCUGGCUGUCGUGAUGCCUAAAAAGCAUUGCAUAGCAAGGGCCGGGCAAGACCGGUGCCAGCCGCCGCGGUAACACCGGCGGCUCGAGUGGUAACCGUUAUUAUUGGGUCUAAAGGGUCUGUAGCCGGCCGGAUAAGUCUCCUGGGAAAUCUGGCAGCUUAACUGUCAGGCUUUCAGGAGAUACCGUCUGGCUCGAGGCCGGGAGAGGUGAGAGGUACUUCAGGGGUAGGGGUGAAAUCUUGUAACCCUUGAAGGACCACCAGUGGCGAAGGCGUCUCACCAGAACGGACCUGACGGCAAGGGACGAAAGCUAGGGGCACGAACCGGAUUAGAUACCCGGGUAGUCCUAGCCGUAAACGAUACUCGCUAGGUGUCGGCAACGGUGCGACCGUUGUCGGUGCCGUAGGGAAGCCGCGAAGUGAGCCACCUGGGAAGUACGGCCGCAAGGCUGAAACUUAAAGGAAUUGGCGGGGGAGCACCACAACGGGUGGAGCUUGCGGUUUAAUUGGAUUCAACGCCGGAA
rnacentral:rRNA from 1 species